rfam:Trichuris suis scaffold6.7, whole genome shotgun sequence.
UGGGUUGCUCUGGUUGGAAGACUAGUGAUUUUGUUGUUGUUUAUGGGCGAACAACGAGUCACUGGUUUCCUAACCAGCGCAAGCUC